AGGCUUGUAGUUUAGCGGCAAAACGCGCGCCCGAUAAGCGCGAAUCCAACAGUUCGAAUCUGUUCAGGCCUA
rnacentral:tRNA from 1 species